CCCGGUCGAUAGGCAAACAGCGAGGGCCGUAGGCCCGAGCCUGGUCGAUAGGCAAACAGCGAGGGCCGAAGGCCCGAGCAUUGUCGAUAGGCAAACAGCGAGGGCCGAAGGCCCGAGCCUGGUCGAAAUGUGAAUAAGCCUGUGAAAGAGAAUCUACCAACUAGGCGAAUCUAUCAAUAUAGGCGAAUCUAUCAGUAUAGGCGAAUCUCCUGGCUCACUAGUCUAUAUAUACUAAAAGAAUUUCGGGUUAUGUAGACUAAAAUGAAGGAACAGUUUACUCGGCCGUGUUGGGUGCUAGAGAUUUGGGGUUUUCGCGAGAAGAAAGUAGAGAUUUCGAAUUAGUUCCGAAUGGAGCCGCUUUUUUCGAUUUCGAUCUCGGAUAUUUUUAAAUUAAUUCGCGAAAAUGACGAAUUUUCGUAAAAAUUUUUGCCCUCUAAGAUGGUAAGUAACGGGUGCACAGACGUUUCGGAAAAUAUGGGUCCGGAAAAAUGCCUAUUCUUAAUGGAUAAAGUUGGUUAGGAUUAAUUGAUGGCCGUGUAACCUUUCUCCGAGAACGAUAUAAUCGUUUGAAACAUACGUUACUUUCUAUUUCGGAACGGAAAUGUUUGAAAAAAGCGUAAGAAAAUGGUCAGUUUUGACGUCUAUCAUCGAAAAUUUUCAGACACUGACAGUUGUCGUGAAAUGGAACAUUCUAUUUCGCUGAAAAGGGGCGGUCGCCCAAACUCAAUUUAUCGUAAUUAUUAAGAGAAAUAUUUUUUAUUUCUGGUAUAAUAUAGAACGAAUUCAAUUGAUUAUUGAAUGGAAUAUCGAUAAUUGAUACGUUUUCAAAUUGAAAAUUGGCAUAUUUCACACGAAUCUUGAAAAUAUUUCAUAAUUUCGAAUGGAUCAUAUCAUUUGGCCACUGAGGGAAGUUCGAUGAUAUUUAAUAUGACAUUUCGAGAAAUCACUCUACACUUAUCAGUUUUCAGCAUCAUAUCAAACGAAUCCAGUCGAUUAUUGAAUGGAAUAUCGAUAAUUAAUGAGUUUUCGAAUCAAAAGCAUGUUCAACAAAAGAGAAAACUAUUCAUAUCCGCACAAAUAGAGAUUUUGACGUCUAGGAAAAAUGCAAAAUAGGGAAAUGAUGAAAUUAUUGACAAUGUGGAAUCUUAAAAUUAUCUUUGGAAGGUAUGUUGAACCGAAAUCGAUCAUCUAUAAGAAAGGAUUAUAGUUAACUCUAUAAUCUUUGCUAUAAGAUUCUUGAAAAUAUUUCAUAAUCCUGAAUGGAUCAUUCCAUUUCGACACUGAGGGGAGUUCGCUCAUGGUUUAUCUGACAUCUCACUUAAUAGUUUAUAAGAAUCAUUUUUCAGCAUAAUAUAGAACGAAUUCACUUGGUUAUUGGAUGGAAUGUCGAUAAUUAAUACGUUUUCAAAUUCAAAAUCGGCAUAUUUCACACCAAUCUUGAAAAUAUUUCAUAAUUCGCCAAAGUGAAGUGACGAUCAUAGAUGUGUUGUGUUUGAAAUUAAUUCAUCGUAUUUGACAGCUGACUAGGGAGAAAAUUGACCUUCGGAAUGAGCAUGGGCGUAUCAUUUGGCGCGUCUGAAGGAAAUUGUCAAUGGAAAUAUUUAGCAGGUUUUUUUUCGGUUUUGACGACUUUUUCCGUUUUUCCUUUGAAUAAAUCACAAAGAGCGAUGCUUUUAUGUAUAACGAUGGAUUUACGUCCAUACUUGGUAUUGGAUUUGGGCGACAGAUGUUAUGUACGGAAUACUUGCAUGUACCGAAACCGUUUUAUUUUUUCUCUUUAAUGGACAAAAAGCGAGGGCCGUAGGCCCGAGUCUGGUCUCUGGUUAACUACGAGGGCCGUAGGCCCGAGCCCUGUUUUCGGCAUACUGCGAGGGCCGCAGGCCCGAGUUCUGUUUGUGGGAAACCGCGAGGGCCGUAGGCCCGAGCCUUUUUUGUGAGAAACAGCGAGGGCCGUAGGCCCGAGCCUGGUCGAUAUGCAAACAGCGAGGGACGUAGGCCCUAGCCCGGUCGAUAGGCAAACAACGAGGGCCGUAGGCCCGAGCCGGGUCGAAAAGUGAAUCAGCCCGUGAAGGCGAAUCCACCAACUAGGCGAAUCUAUCAAUAUAGGCGAAUCUCCUGGCUCACUAGUCUAUAUAUACUAAAAUAAUUUCGGGUUAUGUAGACUAAAAUGAAGGAACAGUUUACUCGGCCGUGUUGGGUGCUAGAGAUUGGGGGUUUUCGCGAGAAGAAAGUAGAGAUUUCGAAUUAGUUCCGAAUGGAGCCGCUUUUUUCGAUUUCGAUCUCGGAUAUUUUUAAAUUAAUUCGCGAAAAUGACGAAUUUUCGUAAAAAUUUUUGCCCUCUAAGAUGGUAAGUAACGGGUGCACAGACGUUUCGGAAAAUAUGGGUCCGGAAAAAUGCCUAUUCUUAAUGGAUAAAGUUGGUGAGGAUAAAUUGAUGGCCGUGUAAUCCUUCUCCGAGAACGAUAUAAUCGUUUGAAACAUACGUUACUUUCUAUUUCGGAACGGAAAUGUUUGAAAAAAGCGUAAGAAAAUGGUCAGUUUUGACGUCUAUCAUCGAACAUUUCAAUCGCUGACAGUUGUCGUGAAAUGGAACAUUCUAUUUCGCGAAAAAGGGGCGGUCGCUCAAAAGUUCGUUUGUCGUAAUUAUUAUGAGCAAUAUUUUUAAUUUCUGAUAUAAUUUAGAACGAAUUCAAUUGAUUUUUGAAUGGAAAAUCGAUAAUUAAUACGUUUUCAAAUUGAAAAUUUGCAUAUUUCACACCAAUCUUGAAAAUAUUUCAUAAUCAUCAUUACGACACUGAGGGAGGUUCGAUGAAAUUUCAUAUGACAUUUCGAGAAAUCACUCUACAGUUAUCAGUUUUCACUGUUUUCAGCAUAAUAUCGAACGAUUCCGAGCGGUUAUUGAAUGAAAUAUCGAUAAAUAAUACGUUUUCUAAUCAAAAUAUAGCAUAUUUCACAAAUAUUAUGGAUCGUACAUGGUUAUAAUAAUUCUUGGUCUAUGAUGAAAUAUGAUUGAUAGAGGUUAUGUCAAAUUGGGGAAACUUGAUUUAUUUCACAAGUCGUUGUGUAUAAGAAAAACUCGACAAUCCAUCAAAUAAUGCCUUCGUGAAUGGAGAUGUGAGAAGUGCAUUCCAACAGUACAUCAUCAGAAUGAAACAAAUAUUCCCAAACAAGGUGUAGAAGUAUUGGUUAGUACCGUUAGAAUUUGAGUAAUACAAAUCAUAGUGUAUUGAAACAUUCGAUUUACCAAUCAAGUUUUAUGAAAUGUGGCGUUCACAUAUAGUGAAAAUGACUACUAAACACUUAUAUAUGCUAUAUGAAGAUGUAUUUUACAAUGAAUUGAUCCUUUCUGAUGGUUCGAAACUUCUCCUGAAAAACAAUGACAUAGAUAUUUGUUGAUCACUUCAAGAUGAGUUGAAUGUAUCAGAACGACCCUUGGAAGAGAAUUCAAUUUGAGAGAGCAACCUCGGAGCAUGCAGAACAAUUCAAGGGUAGAUGAGCGAAGGAUAUGUCAAAUUUUACUUUUUCAUAGAGAGUAAAUAGCAGGACUUGAAAAUCAAAUUAUUUGUAACUAUUCAAGUGGAUGAAAAUUGUGAUGUGGUAUGUAGAAACAGAUUCCAGUGGAUUUUGCCAGAUAUCGAAUGAUGAGAACUGAUAUUUUUGCGCUGCCACUUUUGAAAAGUUAUACUAGGAUGGAAAAUCAUUUGAAGUAAUCUGAGCAAAAUGUUUAUAUCUUGCAACUCUUGAAAGUUAAGAAAUAUAUUAUUACAUAAUAUUGUAGGAAAGAUAAUUUUGAGGGUUUAUUUCCAAAUAUAUGUAACAGCUUAAUAUCAGAGGUUCAUGCUAAUGUAUUAAUAAAAUUCACAUUUCAAGAAGAAUGUACGAUACUGUUAUAUUCUUCAAUCAAUAAAUAUUCUUACAUUGCCCA